rnacentral:misc_RNA from 1 species
GAAAUGCGAUAAUUAAUUUGAAUUGCAGAAUUCCUUGACUCCUCUCAUCUUUGAACGCACAUUGCGCCCGCCAGCACUCUGGCGGGCAUGCCUGUUCGAGCGUCAUUUCAACCCUCAGAACCCCUUGCGGGAUCUGGCGUUGGGGAUUGGCAUCCAGCCAGCCCCGAAAUCUAGUGGCGGUCCCUCCGCGACCUCCCCUGUGCAGUAGCGAUACCUCGCAGCGGGACAGCGGUCUGACCACGCCGUAAAACCCCCAACUUCUCAAGGUUGACCUCGAAUCAGGUAGGAAUACCCGCUGAACUUAAGC